ensembl:lncRNA
AAACAUUCCACUCAGCUGAAGUGGUCUUUGGUUUCUACAGACAGAUCACUGAGAGACUUGUUUCUGCACGACAGAACGAUUUUCAAAAAUGAGGAGGAAUCACAAAAAGACACCUCAGCAUCAAGCUAUGCAGGGAUUAAGGAGUAGUAAAAUGGACAUAGUGUCCAGAACAAGAGAAAAAGCAGCAAUGACGAUCACUCCAGAAUCGAGUAACAGGCCUACAAACCAAGAUUUCUUGCAGCAAACUGCACGACCUGAGGAAGUUCUGCAUAGAACGCCCAGAAUGGAUCCGAUUGGUCUUCCCCCAUCCAGAGCACCGGUGUGUGGGGAAAAGUUAAGCAAAACAACCAGCAAUCCUGAGGAACUUACAGGUACUACAGAGAGUCCAGUCCAUGAGCCAAGAGGAAGUGAUGAUGAGUCUAGUGUGACAACUCAGGGCAGUGAGACAUUAGACAUUGUGAAAGAGAGAGCUGACUCCCCAAGAAGAUCUACCAAAGUCCCGUUCUCCACAGUAUUUGACCAGUCUUCUGGACCUGAAGUUAAGGCCAAAGAUGAGGUUGAGGGCAUCUUGGCUGAUUCUGGAAGCAUGAGCCACCUUGAUGACCCUCUGACUUCAAGAAUCAAAUCUGACUCCGAUUCGGAUACAAGCGUUCUUGAGCUCACUGCUACUUCUGCAACGGAAAAUGUUGACCACAUGUCAAGAUCUGAUGAAGUAGCAGAAGAAGGACUUGUGGCUAAAUCAGAUGUUGAGCUUGAGCAAAUCAUGGCUGCUCCUUCUGAGGAAAACACUCCUUCUGACAUAACUUCCCAAAGCCUUGAGCUGAUUGGACACCAGGAAUGUGCUAGCCCUGUCCCUUCACCACCUUCUAGUGAUCAGCCAGAGGAUCUGCCAGCUCUUUGCCAAACAGAGCAUCUUUGACCAGUCUCACCAAAAUGUAGAGAGUGAUGGCAAGCGUAGACUUUCUCUGACUGGCAUGGAAAUGGGUUCUUCUGGAAGCAGAAGUCGCCUUGAUGAACCUCAGUUCAUCUGAAACUUACAACGUUGAAGAAGCUGCAGCAAAAUCAGCUGGAUACAAAGCAGUACUAUGUUGAAAUUAUUCUGACGUAUUAAAUCAUUGCAAAUAAAUGAACCAUCCAUUCAUUAUCUUUUUACACUGUUCUUUCUUGUAUCCAAAUUGUAGCCUCCCCAAGAGGACUGUCGUGGGAAAUAAUCUUUCCAGCCUAACAAAAAGCUUCAGAGACAGAGGGUUUGUAGAUGUCAAAAGUAAUUAAACUUUAUUGAAACAAUAAAGUGAGACAGUCUGCAGAAAGUCUAAAUUAUGCAACCACACACAGCCCUUUUUAUACCUUUCUCCACAGCAAACUCAUCUUAGGUGGGGUUUUACCUUUUCUCAUUAAAAAAAGACCAGUCUUCUUUGGCCACAAUUAAUUAUUCAAAUCUAUAUGUUAUCUUAAAUUUGUGGAGCAUGCGCAGUUAGUUGUUUUACUGGAAAAGGUUUUAUGAGGACAAGGUUUCUUUUUUUAAAAAGAGUCUUUGUUUUUCGUUCGUCUCUGACCAACACUCCCUUCUUAUGUCUCAAUGAGCUUCUGUCUGUUUCUAUCUGCCAUCCUAGCUGAUAUCCACCUCCCUUCCUGAGCCCUUUCAUAUAAAAUGCAAUUAUUUCAAUACAGUAAUUUCAAUGCAUCAUAUUUCACAAUGGCUAACAUGGCUAAUUACAAUGAAUGCAAAUUAUAUGCUUUAAUUAAAAAAAAAAACAAAAAAAAAAACAGCUGUGGUUGCUUAUUCCACUUGUAAUUUCAGGUGUAAUUUGCAGUUGUAAUUUUUCAUGAAGUCGUCAGCCAGUAACAGUCAGGACGAGACUGGGUAGUGGAGGUGUGAUAUGAACAGGGUAAGAGACAAACAGGAGGUUUGCCUUGCUGAAACUUCAACAACUUUUUGUACUUCAGCAAUGUUAAAAUAAAAUAAUUGAAAUAAUCUUUUUUGAGAUGUGUUGCUGCCAUCAAAUUGAAAAUUACCUAUUUUUCCCUUAAAAUUGUACAUUUCCUCAGUUUAAAC